CCCAAAUCUCCAGCUGCCAAUUCAAACUCUCUCCCCCCCCCACCUUACUCUUUUCCAGAAGGCCAGUCUGUGUUUAGUGCAGGGAGAGGCUGCUUGCUUUUUUGCAUCCGCUGGACCAAGGGAGCUGCUUUCAGACCAGGACUUUGAAACCAUGCUUUACGUUCAGCCUCUGCUUUUCCUUUUCACACUGACUGGACUAGGAUUGGCUGCUGUGGAUCCUGUCACUGACCGCGGAGAAAGCUUAGAGCAGAGUUACUGGUGUGAUGAUCACAAUACAAUUCAUAGGCGUUUAGAUACCAUCCAGGAGCAAGUAGAAAAAACAGUUGACCAUCUGGACUCUGAAGUCAAGUCAUUGCUCAAAACUGUCAGUGAAACAGCAUGGAGUGUCCCUCUUACUCCUGGAACUCCCCUGAUGGAUAUUUUUGAAGAUACCAGCCGAGCUUCAAGAAGAUGAGAAGAAACACAACAAUAAAAUUAUUACGCUGUGUAUUUCACCCACAUUUGGAUCUUUGUGGUAUUUUAAAUUAAACUGUAUAUUUAGUCAUCAGAUGAAUAAUGUUUUGUAACAAAUUCUUCUAUGUUGUUGAAUGAAGUUCAUUAAUGACCAAUACAAAAAGAGUCAAAAUAAAAAAGAGCACCUGAAGAAAUGUAAUUCAUUGAAUUAGAUGGCUUUAAUGAAAUUUUAAACAUGCUCAUAUAUCAUUUCACCACAAGUUAAAAUAACUAUCUCAGCAGCCUUGUAAUGAAGCAAUGAAAAAGAGGAAGGAACCUACAGAAACGACCACAUGAAGUCCUUCUUUGCCUGGUGCAUGAGACCUGCUCAAUUUGGACAAAAAUACUCCUGGUUCAAGUCCAGCUAGCAAGGUUGAAAUUUGAUCAGUCAAACAAUGGACUGAUUACCAUGUCCUUGGCCAAGUAUUGAUCAGAUACAUUAGUUCUUUAAACUAAGCACUGGAAGAAAAAGAAAGGACAGGCACAAUCAUACUAGUUAUAAAAAGGAAUGCUCCUGUUGUCUUCUAGAAGAUCCAACUUCUUCCUAGCAGCUCUACAAACAGGUAUCUAGAUCAUAUGGAGGCAUAGUAGAUGUGGUGUUAGUCUUAUCCACCAGGCCAUUGUGACCUCUGCCAGUGUAAUGAUGGCCCAUGGGUGUUUCUCCUCUUGAAUCCUACCCUAAUGCUAGGCAACGUGACUCACAAUUCUGUCAUUGUGUGAAAUGUCCUGCCUUAAGGAUUCUGGUUGGCUAGUGUGGAAUCACAAUGUUGUAUUUGAGAUAUUGUGGUCUGAUCCAGCAUAGCUGUUUUCUUCUGUUCUAACUGAGAAAGGACAACAGCUUUCUGGAGUUGCUGGUCAAGUUCUGUUUACUCCUGACUAAGGUACGUGUACACUCCAUGCCUGCAGGGCUGGGGGAUGAGUGCUAGGUUCCAGAGCAUGUGAAUCCAUGAAGGAAUAAGAAGAGGGACGCUGCAAGGCACAGAAGAGUAGUCUUGGCUUUGUGAGUACUAAGCAAUAUUUGCCAAAGGCGAAUUGGCCAGUCAACAAACCCAGCCUUUGUGAGAAAAGCAGCUCAGAGGGAAGAAUUAAAAUAUUCUUCCACUAAAAUAGGUAAACUUAAAAUACUGAACAGUGAAACCUUGUUCUAUUUACAUAAUGAAAAUAAUUCUUCAGCUUCUUAAUCAUGGAAAACUUUAUAAACACAGGCAGUUUUGUACACCAACUCUAAAACUACAGCCCAAAGAGUUGGUUUUAAGACAAAUAAAGAAAUGGUGUGUAAAUAAGCAGGCGUAGGAUGAUGCAUUCUUUCAAGAAAAAUGAAUCUAAUGACUAGUAGAAGCCGUAUGUGAAUGAGGAUGAUAUUGGGGUCCCAGAGCAUCAUCCUACUAAUGCUUGAUUAUGGAUGGCUUCAACAUGUUGUUAUGUGUCUUUCCAAGCUUUGCACAGCACAAUGGUUAGGGAUGCUCAUUCCCCAUCUCCCUUAUGAUACUGAUAAAAAUGCCUUGUGUCUGAAAAAAACAUUGCAGUGUGGAUGUGAGUCCCAAGUCCCUCCAGAACAUGAGAAAAUGCUAUUCUAAUGUCUGCUCAGGAGUCCCGUGAGUCUUCCUAAUGCUGCAUGUGCAGUUUCUGAAUGAGCAACAACAUUUGUGCACAGAACCUCAUGAGUUAUAAUAUACUAUAGAAAACCAGUAUGAUCUAGAAAUGAGGAACAGAAUGUAUUAACAGGCUGGCAAAAUUCAAGCUAUGAAGCUUGCAGCACAAGUAGCAUCAGCAACUAAUGUUUGUGGUAUUCCUGGAGAGUAGGUGAUAGAAGGCCUGUCAACCUGGCUAUAGCAUACGACCAGACCUAAAAGUCUGGUUUGCCCCUGCCUUCACUCCUUUUUGUCAACUUGCCGUUGGUAUCUAGCUGGCCACUGCUGGAAAGCUUGGCUAAGUGGACUAUUAAUCUGUUGUAGCAGAGUUCAUAUGUGGGAAUCCUCCCCAAUUAAAACUCAGAGCCAUGCCAGAGGACAGGAGAACUGGGAGAACCCCUGAACAGAUUGCUAGAAUGGCAUUUCCUAAGGCUCCACAUUUCACUCGCAAAAAAGGGGGGGGCACUGGUCUUAAAGCUUCCAGAAGAGCUGAUCAGUGGAAAACAUAACACAGAGAUAGAUCCCUUGUUUCUAAUAUAUUAUUCUGGCACUUUGACUUUCUUCUGAAGCAAUAGUUUGGGAAGAAAAAAAACAUUACCAAAACUAUGGGUAGCCACAAUGGAAUGAUUUGUGUAUGUGUUCACAUGUGUCCUAUUACUAUUGUUCGAGUGAGAACCCACAGCAACAUCUGCUCACAAAGCAUUUCCUGCAUUUCUUUGCCAUUUCUUUUUACCUUGAAUGAUCAGCUGUAACAAUCUGCUUUUUGUUUUUUUGCUGUAUGAAUAGAAUUUACAUUUACUACUUCAAUUAUGUAUGUAGCACAAACCAACAAAAAAGCUACUCCAGAAAACUUAGAAGACCAAUACAUUUAUUUGUAAAAAUCUGCUUUUAAAAAAAGUUACAUAUAUCUGAUUUUAAAAGGCACAGUUCAGUAACCACUGAAAAAGCAAGCUUUGCAAUGCACUCCAGUGGAUGGCA